rnacentral:rRNA from 1 species
CAUGCAAGUCGAACGAGCGAGAGAGAGCUUGCUUUCUCGAGCGAGUGGCGAACGGGUGAGUAACGCGUGAGGAACCUGCCUCAAAGAGGGGGACAACAGUUGGAAACGACUGCUAAUACCGCAUAAGCCCACGGGUCGGCAUCGACCAGAGGGAAAAGGAGCAAUCCGCUUUGAGAUGGCCUCGCGUCCGAUUAGCUAGUUGGUGAGGUAACGGCCCACCAAGGCGACGAUCGGUAGCCGGACUGAAAGGUUGAACGGCCACAUUGGGACUGAGACACGGCCCAGACUCCUACGGGAGGCAGCAGUGGGGAAUAUUGCACAAUGGGGGAAACCCUGAUGCAGCGACGCCGCGUGGAGGAAGAAGGUCUUCGGAUUGUAAACUCCUGUUGUUGGGGAAGAUAAUGACGGUACCCAACAAGGAAGUGACGGCUAACUACGUGCCAGCAGCCGCGGUAAAACGUAGGUCACAAGCGUUGUCCGGAAUUACUGGGUGUAAAGGGAGCGCAGGCGGGAAGACAAGUUGGAAGUGAAAUCUAUGGGCUCAACCCAUAAACUGCUUUCAAAACUGUUUUUCUUGAGUAGUGCAGAGGUAGGCGGAAUUCCCGGUGUAGCGGUGGAAUGCGUAGAUAUCGGGAGGAACACCAGUGGCGAAGGCGGCCUACUGGGCACCAACUGACGCUGAGGCUCGAAAGUGUGGGUAGCAAACAGGAUUAGAUACCCUGGUAGUCCACACCGUAAA